CCAGCCUCGACGAUAGGAGUCUGUGGUGGUCCUUCUGUUCUAGAAAGUGCCCUCUUUCCUGGCAUCCCAAAAAUCUGGGAGGGUCAAGGAGAAACUGAUUUUCAAAAAUACCCUUUCCUGCAGGAGUUCAAGCCCCUACCUACCGACCGACCUGUGGUCUCUGAAGUUGGACAAUGCUCCCCAACAGGUGCAAACAGAAUACCUGUUUGACCGGGCUUUGUCUCUAGGAAACUACAUACGAGGUGAUGGAAAUGCUAUUAAGAGAUGGGACCCAUACCUGACACUAUCAAUGAGGCUAAGAACCUGUAACUAGUGAUGUGAAUUAACACAGAGACCUACAAUUGAUUCAGGGAUCUAUGUAGAAGAGGAAGCAGGGAGAUUCUAAGAGCCAGAGAUGGUGGAUGACUUCAAAGAAACAAUGUUUUCCAGCUACAACAGUUUGCAGCAGUAUGGAGGCUGGCAGGAUUGCCCAAGCAGAAGGCUGAGGCCACAAGAGGAACAAUCUGUUGGAGCAAGGCUUUGGAGCACUUGUUCGUGAAGGGUGUAAUAAUAAGUGCCGUGGUGUGGGAACUUAAACAAAUAAGAAUCUCCUUCCUCAAAGUUUGAGAGGCCCAAGAUUCAAGAUGGACAUGUCCACAGGAUGGGCGUCCUUCACUCCUGGUUUGCAAACAGUCACCCCCUGUCUGUGUCUACAUAAGCUCUUACCAUGUGUGUUUCUUCCUGGUGCCUCUCAGAGUCGAUGUUGCUUUUUUUCAUAAGAGUACCAAUUAAGGAUGACUUAGGGACCCUAAAUAGACCCAUUUUAACUACAUUAUCUUUUCACUGUUAUUUUCUUGGUUUCCUAAGGAUCAGACAAGGGGCCUUACGUAUGAUAGGUGAGUGCUCUACCAGUGAGCUACACACCCAGCACCCUUAAUAACAGCUUUAAAGAGCAGCCCUCCAAUGCAAAUACCUUCUUAAGUACUAGCAAUUGGGGCUCUAAUAUGAAUUUAGAAACAUGCAUUUAGAAGAAAGGGGCACAAAACAGCCCUUAUUCAAGGACACUUGAGCACUUGGUGGCUUCAUGGCACCUCUCUAUACACUCUCAGUGCCACCUCUAGACCCCACUUAACAUGAGGAAGAUGCCUCCCUUGCAUUAAGCUUUGUGUCCAGGCACUUCUCAUCCAUGCAGGUAGCCGCAUUCCCUAACUGAUACGUAGCAUCUCACUUCAGCUGUUCUUGUUCACCUCUUUUGAAUCUUGUAUGGAGUGGAGUUCCCUCUUCAAUUAAAAGAAAUUAUUCAACUAAA